rnacentral:rRNA from 1 species
UACGAAGGGGGCUAGCGUUGCUCGGAAUCACUGGGCGUAAAGCGCACGUAGGCGGCUUUUUAAGUCAGGGGUGAAAUCCUGGAGCUCAACUCCAGAACUGCCUUUGAUACUGAGAAGCUUGAGUCCGGGAGAGGUGAGUGGAACUGCGAGUGUAGAGGUGAAAUUCGUAGAUAUUCGCAAGAACACCAGUGGCGAAGGCGGCUCACUGGCCCGGUACUGACGCUGAGGAGCGAAAGCGUGGGUAGCAAACAGG